AUUAUUUUGGCAGAUUAGUGCGUUGGAUUUAGAAUUCAUUUAUGUAUAUAAAAUUUACAAAUAAUA
rnacentral:tRNA from 1 species